CUCCAAACGCAUGACGCAAUAUCUUGUAAUCGAACCGUUCCUGAUGCCCUUCAUGCCCUUCAUCACCACGAAGCCGGAAUAGCUUGGAUGCCUGUUUCAACCACAUGGAGAAAUCUUAGGAAAAUCUGCAACUUGCACAUUUUCGCUAGUCAGAAACUUGACGCUAACCAACACUUGCGGCGUAACAAAAUAGAACAACUCCUUGCUGAUGUUGGUGAUAGUUCCCGCAUCGGAGAAUCGAUAGAGAUAUCCACUGUUGCUUUCAAAACUACGCUUAAUCUUAUAUCCAAUACUAUUUUCUCCGUCGAUUAUGCCGACUCUUCUUCUAAUACUGCCCUGGAAUUCAGAGAAAUUUUACAGGUUAUCAAGGAAGAGUUGGGAAAAGCCAAUUUUGGUGAUCUUUUUCCUACUCUAGCUAAACUUGACUUGCAAGGCAUAAGGCGUCGCAUGGCAAUUCAUUCUAAGAAGAUGAUGAAUAUUUUUGAUAAAGAGAUUGAUAAGCGGUUGGAGUUGAGAAAGAUGACUGAUUAUAUACCAGCUCAAGAUUUUUUGGAUACUCUUCUCCAAAUCAGUGAAGAUGAUAACGAAGAGCUUGACAGAAAUCUGAUAAAACAUUUGUUUUUUGUACUUUUUCUCUCUUCAGCCUCUCAAUUGUUUUCUUCCUUUUUUUUUUUUUUAGUCCAUAACUCGGUAAGAAUUUGUGAAACAGGAUUUGUUCACUGCAGGAACGGAUUCAGUUACAAGUACACUGGAAUGGGCAAUGGCGGAAUUACUCCAUAACCCAAAAGCUUUACAGGAAGUCCGAAGAGGACUACAACAAAUAAUUGGCAAAGGGAACGUACUGGAGGAAUCUAAUGUUACUCGUUUACCUUAUUUGCAAGCAAUUGUCAAGGAAACGUUGAGAUUGCAUCCUCCAGUUCCUUUCUUACUUCCUCGAAAAGCUGAAGUAGAUAUCAAGAUUCACGAAUUCGUCAUUCCAAAGGGUGCACAGGUGUUGAUCAAUGCAUGGGCUAUAGGCAGAGAUCCUAAUUUCUGGGAGGAGCCUGAAUUGUUUAGUUUAGAGAGGUUCAUAGAAUCAGAAAUUGAUGUUAAAGGAACGAACUUUGGAUUGAUUCCAUUUGGGGGAGGGCGACGAAUUUGCCCUGGAUUACAAUUGGCCAUUAGAAUGUUGCCCUUAAUGCUGGGUACACUUAUUCAUUCAUUUGAUUGGGAACUUGAAGAUGGAGUCACACCUCAAAGUUUAAACAUGGAUGAAACGUACGGUCUUAUUUUACAGAAAACUCAACCAUUAAAAGUUAUCCCUCGUUCGAUUUAAUAAUAAUUUAUUGUAUAUUUUUAUCUAUAACUUUUGAAAAAUUUAAGUAUUAGAAAAGUUAAGUAUUGAAUUUUACUGUUAAAUUUUAUGAGAGCUAAAUCUAUAUUAGAAAAUUGUUUGAUAAAUUAGUAAAUAUAAAUAUUAAAUAUAAUUAUGUUGUUAGAUAAAAGUAAAUAUUAAUUUUUAAUUUUAAUCUUAUUAAUAUAUUAUUUUAUAUAUUUUGGAUUGUUUUCGGUGAAAGAUAAAUAUAGUAAUUUAAAUAUGUCUUUCUUUUAAGAGAAGGAUAAUUUGUUUUAAUUUUUUAAUAAAAUAAAAUUAAUUUAAUAUUUUUUAGAUUAAGUAAUAACUAUCUACCUAUCUACUUAUCUUAUUCAACACUUUCUAAAAAAAAUUCAUAAUAAAAAAAUAAAAAUGGUUAUCAAACAUAUUUAAAGUAUUAAAUGUUGAAAACUUUCAUUUUCAAUGAUUUAUCAGACACACCCUUUAUUAAUAGUAAGUUAUUAUAGAAUUAUUUUAGAUUAUCUUUCAUUUUUUUUCAAACAUUGUGGGCAAUGCUAGCAUUCAUUAAUCACAUAAAUUAUUGCCACAAUACAUCUUAUAUAUAUAUAUAACAAUAUUUUCCACUGCUCAUAAAUUAUGUGAACUAAAGUAUUGGUACCAAGGAUAUAAAUACACAUACCAACUUAGACGCGUAGUCAGCUCCCCGAUUUCACCCAGAUUUCUUGAUGAUUAGCCGUCCCGAUCCUUCAACCUCAGCAUGGACCCAAACUACUCGUCCCUCCUUGAAACAUGUUUUGAUUAUUUGUAUCUAUAACUACUGAAGAGCAAUAAUUGAAACUUACUUGAUGAAAAGUUAUUAUCAAAUUAUUUUGUAUUUUAUUCAUGUUUUUCAAACAUUGUGGGCAAUGACAACAUCAAUCACAUAAAAAUCAUGCGUACCUAUUCACUAUCAAGUCAUGUCUGGGAGCCAACAUUCACAUUUGAACUCAACAAAGGUUCGUUUCGUCAACAACCAAAAUAUAUCUGCCACAACACAUAUAUUAGAUAUAUAUGGAUUAAACAACUUUCUCCAUUGUCAUUGAAGCUUAGUGAGCAAGAAUCUUGAUACCAAGGAUACAAGUGUAUGUACAAGUACGUAUACCAAGUUCGAAAAAUCCUC
rnacentral:lncRNA from 1 species